rnacentral:rRNA from 1 species
GACGAACGCUGGCGGCGUGCUUAACACAUGCAAGUCGAACGGAAAGGCCCCUUUGGGGGUACUCGAGUGGCGAACGGGUGAGUAACACGUGAGUAACCUGCCCUUGACUUCGGGAUAACUUCAGGAAACUGGGGCUAAUACCGGAUAGGAAUCCUUGCUGCAUGGUGGGGGUUGGAAAGCUUCGGCGGUUUUGGAUGGACUCGCGGCUUAUCAGCUUGUUGGUGGGGUAGUGGCUUUCCAAGGCUUUGACGGGUAGCCGGCCUGAGAGGGCGACCGGCCACAUUGGGACUGAGAUACGGCCCAGACUCCUACGGGAGGCAGCAGUGGGGAAUAUUGCACAAGGGGCGGAAGCCUGAUGCAGCAACGCCGCGUGCGGGAUGACGGCCUUCGGGUUGUAAACCGCUUUCAGCAGGGGCGAAGCUUGUGGUGACGGUACCCGCAGAAGAAGCACCGGCUAACUACGUG